UUCUCCCCUAACUUUCGACCACCACCUCUCUCCCCUUCAUCUCUCUACUUUCCACCAUUUUCCUCCAUUGAUGCACCUUCGAAGCUUCACCAAAAUAUGUCAAACACAUAAAUCACCAAUAAAAUCCCACCUUAAACACCUUCCAUCUCCUUAGAUUCAAGAAGAUCCAUGGAGAUUCAAUCUUGAAGAUAGUGAGAGAAAAUUUGAUAUUUGGUGUAAACUUGGACACGAGCAGAGCAAGGAAGUAAGUAACUCCACUUUGACGGGAGUUUUUGAGUAAGGUCUUCAGGCUAAGCGAGGAGCGAGAUUGGUCUGGUGCUAGUGGGGGAAACGUUUCAAUCGAUGUAAUUAUAUUUCCGUAUUGCCUUCAUGUUAAUAGAGUCUUGAGGAUUGAGAUACUUUGUUUUCUUU